rnacentral:rRNA from 1 species
GACGAACGCUGGCGGCGUGCUUAACACAUGCAAGUCGAACGGAAAGGCCCUGCUUUUGUGGGGUGCUCGAGUGGCGAACGGGUGAGUAACACGUGAGUAACCUGCCCUUGACUUUGGGAUAACUUCAGGAAACUGGGGCUAAUACCGGAUAGGAGCUCCUGCUGCAUGGUGGGGGUUGGAAAGUUUCGGCAGUUGGGGAUGGACUCGCGGCUUAUCAGCUUGUUGGUGGGGUAGUGGCUUACCAAGGCUUUGACGGGUAGCCGGCCUGAGAGGGUGGCCGGCCACAUUGGGACUGAGAUACGGCCCAGACUCCUACGGGAGGCAGCAGUGGGGAAUAUUGCACAAUGGGCGGAAGCCUGAUGCAGCAACGCCGCGUGCGGGAUGACGGCCUUCGGGUUGUAAACCGCUUUCGCCUGUGACGAAGCGUGAGUGACGGUAAUGGGUAAAGAAGCACCGGCUAACUACGUG